AUUGAACGCUGGCGGCAUGCUUUACACAUGCAAGUCGAACGGUAACAGGCCUUCGGGUGCUGACGAGCGGUGAACGGGUGAGUAAUGCAUCGGAACGUGUCCAGAGGUGGGGGAUAACGCAGCGCAUGCUGUGAUAAUACCGAAUGUGAUCUGAGGAUGAAAGCGGGGGACCAGGCUGCUAAGUUUGGCCUCGCGCCUCUGUAGUGGCCGAUGUCAGACAAGGUUGUUGGUGGGGUAAAGGCCUACCAAGCCGACGAGCGGUAGCUGGUCUGAGGGGACAGCCGGCAACACUGAAACUGGAACACGGCCCGGACGCCAACGGGGGGCAGCAGAGGGAAAUUUUGGACAAUGGGCGCAAGCCUGAGCCAGCAAGGCCGCGUGCGGAAAGAAGGCCUUCGAGUUGUAAACCGCUUUUGUACGGAACAAAAAGGCUCUAGCUAAUACCUGAGGCUGAUGACGGUACCGUAAGGAUAGGCACCGGCAAACUACUG
rnacentral:rRNA from 1 species